rnacentral:rRNA from 1 species
GACGAACGCUGGCGGCGUGCCUAAUACAUGCAAGUCGAGCGGACGGAUGGGAGCUUGCUCCCAGACCGUCAGCGGCGGACGGGUGAGUAACCCGUGGGCAACCUGCCUGUAAGACUGGGAUAACUCCGGGAAACCGGGGCUAAUACCGGAUAACUCUUUCCCUCACAUGAGGGAAAGCUGAAAGAUGGCAUCUCGCUAUCACUUACAGAUGGGCCCGCGGCGCAUUAGCUAGUUGGUGGGGUAACGGCUCACAAAGGCGACGAUGCGUAGCCGACCUGAGGGGGGGAUCGGCCACACGGGAACUGAGACACGGCCCAGACGCCUACGGGAGGCAGCAGUAGGGAAUCUUCCGCAAUGGACGAAAGUCUGACGGAGCAACGCCGCGUGAGUGAUGAAGGUGUUCGGAUCGUAAAGCUCUGUUGUCAGGGAAGAACAAGUACCGGAGUAACUGCCGCUACCUUGACGGUACCUGACCAGAAAGCCACGGCUAACUACGUG